GACCAAUUACAAUACUAUCUAAGAACCCUUAAACAAUAUUGAGUAAUUCUAUACUUAUAUAGAAAAUUUUAUGUUAAAACUAGUAACAAGAAGAAGAACUUCUCCUAUAAUGCAAGCGUAAAUCAGAUAGGACACCCCACUGAUAAUUARCACCAAUGAAAAYAAAGUAGYAACUUAACAAGAAAACCCUACUAAAMUAUAUGUUAACCUAACACYAGAGCAUUACAAGAAAGAUUAAAAAAAAGAGAAGGAACUCGGCAAAUAUUAACCUCGCCUGUUUACCAAAAACAUCGCCUCUUGCCCAAAUAUAAGAGGUCCAGCCUGCCCAGUGACUCUGUUCAACGGCCGCGGUAUCCUAACCGUGCGAAGGUAGCGUAAUCACUUGUUCUUUAAAUGAGGACUGGUAUGAAUGGCACCACGAAGGUUAUACUGUCUCCUCUUUUUAAUCAGUGAAACUAAUCUCCCCGUGAAGAAGCGGGGAUAAACAUAUAAGACGAGAAGACCCUAUGGAGCUUUAAACUAUGUAACACUUGCACCAACCCCAUGCAAAUUUCAGAAGAAUCCUUUUUACCUAUGCAAGAUUAUUACCAGUUUUAGGUUGGGGUGACCACGGAGCAAAAAACAACCUCCACAUUGAAAGGAGCCUACUCCUUAGCCAAGAACCACACCUCCACGCAUCAUUACAAUGACAUUAAUUGACCCAAUAUAUUGAUCAACGAACCAAGUUACCCUAGGGAUAACAGCGCAAUCCACUUCAAGAGCUCCUAUCGACAAGUGGGUUUACGACCUCGAUGUUGGAUCAGGGUAUCCCAGUGGUGCAGCCGCUACUAAAGGUUCGUUU
rnacentral:rRNA from 1 species